rnacentral:rRNA from 1 species
UACGUAGGGUGCGAGCGUUAAUCGGAAUUACUGGGCGUAAAGCGUGCGCAGGCGGUUUUGCAAGUCAGAUGUGAAAGCCCCGGGCUCAACCUGGGAAUUGCAUUUGAAACUACAAGGCUAGAGUGUGCCAGAGGGGGGUAGAAUUCCACGUGUAGCAGUGAAAUGCGUAGAGAUGUGGAGGAAUACCGAUGGCGAAGGCAGCCCCCUGGGAUAACACUGACGCUCAUGCACGAAAGCGUGGGGAGCAAACAGG